CUGUGGGUGUAAACUACACAUCCCAGAAUGCAGUAUACGGAACGGUGCCUUUUACGGCCAGUCCUAACCCAUCGCUAUGAAUUAUUCUUUGUUCACCUUCACCGUGUUAAAACAAAUAGUUUGCAAAUGCCGCAUGGGAUCAAUUUUCUGAAAAUAUUAGAUCCUGUUCGUAAGCGACAGCACUUGAACCAAGCGCCAGGAAUUACGAGAAUUAUUGAGCACAGGUUUGGACAGACAGAGUACGCGGUUUUGACCGUUGGUUUCGGCGCGGGGUUUGACGGUUGAGCUCACAGUGAAGAUGGAGCGGAGCGCGAGCGAACGGCAGCUGCAGGAACUCGAGCUGCAGAUCGACCAGACUGCCAUAUAUUUAACAAAAGUAUGGGAAGUCACAUCAGCUCUUUCAGCUCAAGUGGAAGAUCUAACUGCAAAAUGCUCAGAAAAUGCUCAGUUCUUGAAAGCAUGGAGGGAUCUACUACAAGAGGGGUAUGAAUCCCUGAAACCAAACAACUAACUGCAAGGCAGAAGAGAAGUUAUUCCAUGUCUUAUGGAGGAAGAACUUAAAGACAUAAUGUUUAAUAUGGGAAGCAUAAAGAAUCUGCUUUUAAGGUCAAGGAAAUAAUGACAAGAAUAGAAAGCCAAAGAGGAGAUGCAUAUAUAUCCAUCUACAGUCAUAUGUGUUAAGUAGAGACUGUUGAUGGUGUUAUCUUGAGCAAUGGCACAAAAAAAACUUUUUUAUAUUUCUGAAACUAGUAUAUGUCCUGCCAAUGAAUAGAGGGGGCUUC